CCUACGGGUGGUAGCAGUGGGGAAUAUUGGGCAAUGGGCGAAAGCCUGACCCAGCAACGCCGCGUGAAGGAAGAAGGCUUUCGGGUUGUAAACUUCUUUUGACAGGGACGAGCAGAAGACGGUACCUGUCGAAUAAGCCAUCGCUAACUACGUGCCAGCAGCCGCGGGCAUACGUAGGUGGCCAGCGUUUGCCGGGAUUACUGGGUGUAAAGGGGUUGUAGCCGGGCUGGCAAGUCAGUUGUGAAAUCCGGGGGCUCAACCCCGGGCCUGCCUCUGAUACUGUUCGACUAGAGAGCGGUUGCAGCAGGCGGAAUGAGUAGUGUAGCGGGGAAAUGCUUAGAUAGUACGCAGAACACCGAUUGCGAAGGCAGCUUGCUAGUCCGAAACUGACGCUGAUGCACGAAAGCGUGGGUAGCGAACAGGAUUAGAUACCCGGGUAGUC
rnacentral:rRNA from 1 species